rnacentral:rRNA from 1 species
GACGAACGCUGGCGGCGUGCUUAACACAUGCAAGUCGAACGGAAAGGCCCUGCUCUUGUGGGGUGCUCGAGUCGCGAAGGGGUGUGUAACAUGUGAGUAAGCUGCCCUUGACUUUGGGACAACUCCAGGACAGUGGGGCUAAUACAGGAUAGGAGCUCCUGCUGCAUGGUGGGGGUUGGAAAGUUCCGGCGGGUGGGGAUGGACUGGCGGCUUAUCAGCUUGUUGGUGGAGUAGUGGCCUACCAAGGCUUUGACGGGUGGCCGGCCUGAGAGGGUGACCGGGCACAUUGGGCCUGCGAUACGGCCCAGUCUCCUACGGGAGGCAGCAGUGGGGAGUAUUGCACAAUGGGCGGACGCCUGAUGCAGCGACGCCGCGUGCGGGAUGACGGCCUUGGGGGUGUAAACCGCUUUCGCCUGUGACGAAGCGUGAGUGACGGUAAUGGGUGAAGAAGCACCGGCUAACUACGUG